UACGUAGGGGGCUAGCGUUGCUCGGAAUUACUGGGCGUAAAGCGCACGUAGGCGGUUCGUUAAGUCGGGGGUGAAAUCCUGGAGCUCAACCCCAGAACUGCCUUCGAAACUGGCGAUCUUGAGUCCGGGAGAGGUGAGUGGAAUUGCGAGUGUAGAGGUGAAAUUCGUAGAUAUUCGGAAGAACACCAGUGGCGAAGGCGGCUCACUGGCCCGGUACUGACGCUGAGGUGCGAAAGCGUGGGGAGCAAACAGG
rnacentral:rRNA from 1 species